rnacentral:rRNA from 1 species
UCCGUAGGCGGAUUGAUAAGUCAGAGGUGAAAUCCCACAGCUUAACUGUGGAACUGCCUUUGAAACUGUUAGUCUUGAGUUAUAUGGAAGUAGAUAGAAUGUGUAGUGUAGCGGUGAAAUGCAUAGAGAUUACACAGAAUACCGAUUGCGAAGGCAGUCUACUACGUAUAUACUGACGCUAAUGGACGAAAGCGUGGGUAGCGAACAGGAUUAGAUACCCUGGUAGUCC